UAGGGAAUCUUCGGCAAUGGGGGGAACCCUGACCGAGCAACGCCGCGUGAGUGAAGAAGGUUUUCGGAUCGUAAAGCUCUGUUGUUAAGGAAGAACGAGUGUGAGAAUGGAAAGUUCAUACUGUGACGGUACUUAACCAGAAAGGGACGGCUAACUACGUGCCAGCAGCCGCGGUAAUACGUAGGUCCCGAGCGUUGUCCGGAUUUAUUGGGCGUAAAGCGAGCGCAGGCGGUUAGAAAAGUCUGAAGUGAAAGGCAGUGGCUCAACCAUUGUAGGCUUUGGAAACUGUUUAACUUGAGUGCAGAAGGGGAGAGUGGAAUUCCAUGUGUAGCGGUGAAAUGCGUAGAUAUAUGGAGGAACACCGGUGGCGAAAGCGGCUCUCUGGUCUGUAACUGACGCUGAGGCUCGAAAGCGUGGGGAGCGAACAGGAUUAGAUACCCUGGUAGUCCACGCCGUAACGAUGAGUGCUAGGUGUUAGGUCCUUUCCGGGACUUAGUGCCGCAGCUAACGCAUUAAGCACUCCGCCUGGGGAGUACGACCGCAAGGUU
rnacentral:rRNA from 1 species